CGGCUAGGGGGUCAUCCCGACUUACCAACCCGAUGCAAACUCCGAAUACCUGUGAGUACUAUCCGGGAGACACACGGCGGGUGCUAACGUCCGUCGUGAAGAGGGAAACAACCCAGACCGCCAGCUAAGGUCCCCAAGUACCAGUUAAGUGGGAAACGAUGUGGGAAGGCUCAGACAGCUAGGAGGUUGGCUUAGAAGCAGCCACCCUUGAAAGAGUGCGUAAUAGCUC
rnacentral:rRNA from 16 species